rnacentral:lncRNA from 1 species
ACUAUGAGAUUAGGCUGUAAAGACUGUGUCUUCAGUCUUGGGCACUGUCUCUCACUUUUGCCCCCCUCUUUUAUCUUUCGUGCUGGGAAGUGAGCUGCCAUGCUGUGAACAGCCAGCCCUGUGAAGAGGACCACAGCCAGUAAGGAACCGAAGCCUGGCAACAACCAUGUGAGUGAGCUUGGAAGAGGAUUCCUCCUGCAGUUGUGCCUUCCGGUGAGAUAGCAGCACUGGACCACAAUCUCAUGAGAGAUCUUGAGCCAGAGGCACACAGCUAAGCCACGCCCAGAUUCCUGACCCACAGGAACUGUGAGAUGACAACUGCUGUUUUAAGGACUGACUCUGGAACUGUGUGAGGAACUGUGGGAUUCUACUGACACUUGGACAGGGCCCCGUGAACAGCUCUCAACUGACCAACGAAGAGCUGCUUGGUGUGUGGAUGACAGUUCCAAGGUGAAUCGACAGCAUCCUGUUUGGAAGGAUGCCACUCUUGAUCAAAGAAGGUAAGAUCACAUUAGCUUGGCAGUUGAAUUGCAUUCUGAAGAAAUGAACAAUAACAAAAGCUCCCGUGUUUGGUUUUUUACUGACUCAUGGACAGUCACCAGUGGCCUGGUCACAUGGUCAGGCAGAAGGGCAGUGGAAACCUGGCCUAUUUAUUAAAGGGAUGCCCAUAUGGAGAAUGGCCCUAUGGAAAUUUGAGGGGUGCAAUAAGUAGAAUAUGUUGAUGCCCAUCAUAAGAGCCUCUUUCUGGGUUUGGAAAAUGAUUGACAUUGACAAGCAGAGAACCCUGUGUGCUCCCUCGAGGUGGCCACCUGGGUCCAUCAAAUGAGUGGAUAAACGGGUACUGCAACAGUGCAGAGAUGGGCUGCAUCUAGACAGGUUUCUUUUGUAUCAUUUCAGGCACAAAAUGCCAAUAAGAACUGUUCUGUCUGCCAGCAAAAGAGACAGACACUGCCCAUGGCUGUGGGGCAGAUUUCCCUGGUGGGAAAGCCCUGAACAAGCUGGCAAGUGAGGCUGAUGCUGGUAACCCUGGGAGGCCACAGAUGGGUUUUGACAGGAGUAGACACUGAUUCUGGACUGGGCUUUGCUUGCCCGGUGGAAGAUGUGAAUGAUGAGAAUACCAUAAAAAAGCCAGAACAGAAGAUAUUGCACAUAUUUGGAGAGCUGAACACCAUUUCUUUAGGCCAAAGAACACACGGUACAGCCCAUAAUGUUCCAGCAGUGGGCAGAGAUAUUCUUCUCAGAGUAAUAGUUUGAUAGAGACUAAAAUGGGCAAUGAAAACAUUGGUUGUCUAAAACAGGGGGAGAUGAAAGCAGGAAGGGCUGGCUUACUUGCCUUUACCAGUGUGUACUCACACUCAACAUGAGUGGGGCUAAAGGAGUGUCCCCACUAGAUAUUCUUUCGUUUUUCUGAUUGAUCUGGGGAAGGGGGGUGGUAGAGGAUGCUGUUAUGACUAUGCAAUUCUUGACAAGAGGGGAGUAUGCUGAUAUAAUGACUAUACUUUUUUCUUUCCUUCUUUCCCAUAUCAUCUAAACUCCCCCUGCCCCUCCCUAUGCAGUGGUUCUAGGACCAGAGCCAUAACUACCAGUGUUAGAACCAGGGAUGAUUCCUAAACAAGAAAUUGUAACUAUGUUUUUAAACCUUGUGUCAGAAUUCCUAAGGACCUGAUGGGGGUGGGUUGUGCAAAACGGGUUAAUUGUGAAUGCAGCUAUAUUGCCUGGUGGUAAAAACGGUCCACUAAAUUGGCACCUAUGUAACCUUAGUCUCCCUGCAUGGGAGUGGACUGAGGAGGAGGUAAUUACUAGACUAAUAUUGCUGUCUGCCAUCUAGACCAGCACGAUGUUGAUUCUAAUGUUUCUUCCAAAGGUUAUUAAUAAAGUGAGGAAAAAAUUAACAGCUGAGAGUAAAGGAAUAAAUAAAUGUGUUAUGAAUUCAGGGAAAUCCAUUAUCACAUUACAUUAACACCUUGAAAGAGACUCAGAGCAAGAAAGGAUACUGUUUCUUAGCUCAAUUAUAUCAGGUGUCUGAAACGGUGAAACCAAGACCAUUCCUGCUUUUAGAACCUGGCAAGAUCAAUGGAAAGCCUGCAAACCUGAGUGGCCUCAUGCUGGGAGACCUAUUCAUACAUUAUGAUGAUGGACUGAACUAAUUAUCAAUGCCUGAAUGAGAUUCUAGUAAUGUGGCAGUGUCUUUUGAAUUAUAUAUUCUUUUAUAUUUCUUUUUUUUUUGUUUGUUUGAGACAGAGUUUCGCUCUUGUAGCCCAGGCUGGAGUGCUAUGGCGUGAUCUUGGCUCACUGCAACCUCUGCCUCCUGGGUUCAAGCGAUUCUCCUGCCUCAGCCUCCCAAGUAGCUGGGAUUACAGGCACCUGCCACCACACCCAGCUAAUUUUUAUAUUUUUAGUAGAGAUGGGGUUUCACCACAUUGGCCUAUAUUUUUUUAAUGUAAGGAAUCCAGGUUUGAAGACCAGAGGUAUACUGUGAAAUAUAUAUUUGGUCCUCUAGCUCAUUUCCUGGCAUACAACUCCUAAAAUCCUUAGAAACGCCAAAGAUGUCUGAUGGCUGGCAGCCUCUAGGCAGCUUCAGGAUGGGGUCACAAAGACCCAGGCAGGAUUAGAGGGUUGGGACUUUCAGCCCCACCCCUCAAUCUCUGGGUAGGGGAGAGGUACCAAAGGUUAAGUUGAUCACCAAUGGCCGAUGGUUUAAUCAAUCAUGCCUAUAGUAAUAAGGCCUCCAUAAAACCCCAAAAGGACAGGAUUUGGGGAGCUUUUGAAUAGCUGUACACAUGGAGGUUCCUGGAAGGUGUUGUGCCUGGGGAGGGUAUGGAAGCUCUGCUCCCCUCCUCUCCUGUAACUUGUCCUGUGCAUCUCUUUAUCUAUAUUCUUUGUAAUAUCUCUUGUAACAAACCGGUAAACAUAAGUAAAUGUUUCCCUGAAUUCUGUGAGCUGCUGUAGCAAAUUAACCAACCCCAAAGAGGAAGAGGCUGUGGUGUCCCCAAUUUGUAGUUGGUUGGCAGAAGUUUCAGCGGCCUGGACUUAUGACUGGUGUCUGAAGAGGUGAGGGUUGUGGGACUGAGCCCUCAAUCUGUGGGAUCUGAUGCUAUCUCCAGGUAGAUAGUGUUUGAAUUUAGUUGGGAGGACACCCAGCUGCAGUCUGCUGCAGAGUUGAUUGCUUGCUUGUUGGUGGGAAGAAAUCUCCACACUUCUGGUCACAGAAGUCUUCUGUAUUGAUUGUUGCUGUGUGGUGUGAGAGCAGUUUGAGUUUUUUCAGCUUCAACAGAGAAAAAGAGGAGGAGCAAGGAUGGAGGCCUAUGGCAUUCCAGUGUGAAGAGGUGGGAGAGGGGAGAUGAGGAAGAAUCAGUAGGAUCUGAGAAGGAGCAGCCAGGAGGUAGAAGGACAACCAAGAGAGCAGGUGUUCCAGAAGCCCAGAGAAGACAGUGUUUCAGAAGGAUGGAUGUCAAAUGUUGCUGACAGGCCAAGAAGAAGCCCUGGGAUUUGAACACUGGACUUAGCAACAUGAAGGUCAGU